CCUGCUCAAUGAUGAGAUUUCAUUAAAUAGCCGCAGUAAUUUGACUGCGUAAAAGUAGCAUAAUAAUUUGCCUUUUAAUUGGUGGCUGGUAUCAACGGUAUUAUGAGAGUGAAUCUGUCUCUUAUAUAUUCUUUUGAAUUUACCUAUUAGGUGAAAAGGCCUAAAUAAUUUUAUAAGACAAGAAGACCCUGUCAAGCUUUACAAUAUGUAAAAAAUAUAAGUGACUUUUAUUUUGUUGUUUGGUUGGGGCAAUCGGUGGGCAAAGAAAAUCCCUCAUUUAUCUAAAGCUUUUAAGAGAAUGACCCACAAAUUAGUGAUUUAAUGAAAAAGUUACUGCAGGGAUAACAGCGUAAUUUUCUUUGUGAGUUCUUAUUUAAAAGAAAGUUUGCGACCUCGAUGUUGGA
rnacentral:rRNA from 1 species